rnacentral:snRNA from 1 species
CGUUGGACCGGCUCUGUGUUU